UAGCUGCGAUGAAGCAGAUGCUGCUUACUCUCCGUGGUCAACCCCACGGGGACAACUUGCCUCAGAAACAGAGAAAAACUUCCCCGGAAAAAUCUGUCUCGAAUCCAUCGGUUCAGUUCCCUUUCCCUCACCAGGAUGGCAAUACGUUUGCACCCAAGCCAACAGUCUUCACAAAGGAGGCUCCAGCACAAGGCCGGAAGAAGGGGAAACAAACCAAAGCCCCCUAAAGUUUUAUUCCAGGCAAGGCUCGUCACAAUCAUGUUCGAAGACUUCUUAAUUAACCCACUCUAUUUUCCUAACUGCAUUUUAACUCCCUUUGCUUUUAAUAUCAUUGUGGCUCCAAAGAGGCCCAUUCUGAUCAUUUAGGAUUCGUGCCACUGGUCUACACCCUUUAAUGCUGCUAAUAAAAACAUUGCACGAUA